rnacentral:rRNA from 1 species
UGGGAAUCUUGCACAAUGGGCGAAAGCCUGAUGCAGCAACGCCGCGUGCGGGAAGACAGCCCUAGGGUUGUAAACCGCUUUCAGCAGAGAAGAAACUGACGGUACCUGCAGAAGAAGAUGCGGCCAACUACGUGCCAGCAGCCGCGGUGACACGUAGGCAUCAAGCGUUAUCCGGAUUUAUUGGGCGUAAAGAGCUCGUAGGCGGUUCGGUAAGUCGGGUGUGAAAACUCUGGGCUCAACCCAGAGAGGCCACUCGAUACUGCUGUGACUAGAGUGCGGUAGGGGAGCGGGGAAUUCCUGGUGUAGCGGUGAAAUGCGCAGAUAUCAGGAGGAACACCAGUGGCGAAGGCGCCGCUCUGGGCCGUAACUGACGCUGAGGAGCGAAAGCAUGGGUAGCAAACAGGAUUAGAUACCCUGGUAGUCCAUGCCGUAAACGUUGGGCACUAGGUGUGGGUCUCAACCGAACGAGAUCCGCGCCGUCGCUAACGCAUUAAGUGCCCGCCUGGGAGUACGGUCGCAAGACU